rnacentral:rRNA from 1 species
ACAAUGGAGAGUUUGAUCCUGGCUCAGGAUGAACGCUAGCGGGAGGCCUAACACAUGCAAGCCGAGCGGUAGAGUCUCUUCGGAGACUUGAGAGCGGCGCACGGGUGCGGAACACGUGUGCAACCUGCCUUUAUCUGGGGGAUAGCCUUUCGAAAGGAAGAUUAAUACCCCAUAAUAUAUUGAGUGGCAUCACUUGAUAUUGAAAACUCCGGUGGAUAGAGAUGGGCACGCGCAAGAUUAGAUAGUUGGUGAGGUAACGGCUCACCAAGUCUACGAUCUUUAGGGGGCCUGAGAGGGUGAUCCCCCACACUGGUACUGAGACACGGACCAGACUCCUACGGGAGGCAGCAGUGAGGAAUAUUGGACAAUGGGUGAGAGCCUGAUCCAGCCAUCCCGCGUGAAGGACGACGGCCCUAUGGGUUGUAAACUUCUUUUGUAUAGGGAUAAACCUAGAUACGUGUAUCUAGCUGAAGGUACUAUACGAAUAAGCACCGGCUAACUCCGUGCCAGCAGCCGCGGUAAUACGGAGGGUGCAAGCGUUAUCCGGAUUUAUUGGGUUUAAAGGGUCCGUAGGCUGAUGUGUAAGUCAGUGGUGAAAUCUCACAGCUUAACUGUGAAACUGCCAUUGAUACUGCAAGUCUUGAGUGUUGUUGAAGUAGCUGGAAUAAGUAGUGUAGCGGUGAAAUGCAUAGAUAUUACUUAGAACACCAAUUGCGAAGGCAGGUUACUAAGCAACAACUGACGCUGAUGGACGAAAGCGUGGGGAGCGAACAGGAUUAGAUACCCUGGUAGUCCACGCCGUAAACGAUGCUAACUCGUUUUUGGGUUUUCGGAUUCAGAGACUAAGCGAAAGUGAUAAGUUAGCCACCUGGGGAGUACGAACGCAAGUUUGAAACUCAAAGGAAUUGACGGGGGCCCGCACAAGCGGUGGAUUAUGUGGUUUAAUUCGAUGAUACGCGAGGAACCUUACCAAGGCUUAAAUGGGAAAUGACAGGUUUAGAAAUAGACUUUUCUUCGGACAUUUUUCAAGGUGCUGCAUGGUUGUCGUCAGCUCGUGCCGUGAGGUGUUAGGUUAAGUCCUGCAACGAGCGCAACCCCUGUCACUAGUUGCCAUCAUUAAGUUGGGGACUCUAGUGAGACUGCCUACGCAAGUAGAGAGGAAGGUGGGGAUGACGUCAAAUCAUCACGGCCCUUACGCCUUGGGCCACACACGUAAUACAAUGGCCGGUACAGAGGGCAGCUACACAGCGAUGUGAUGCAAAUCUCGAAAGCCGGUCUCAGUUCGGAUUGGAGUCUGCAACUCGACUCUAUGAAGCUGGAAUCGCUAGUAAUCGCGCAUCAGCCAUGGCGCGGUGAAUACGUUCCCGGGCCUUGUACACACCGCCCGUCAAGCCAUGGAAGUCUGGGGUACCUGAAGUCGGUGACCGUAACAGGAGCUGCCUAGGGUAAAACAGGUAACUAGGGCUAAGUCGUAACAAGGUAGCCGUACCGGAAGGUGCGGCUGGAACAUCUCAUUUUAGA